ACGUUCUGAACCCAGCUCGCGUGCCACUUUAAUGGGCGAACAGCCCAACCCUUGGGACGUACUACCGCCCCAGGAUGCGAUGAGCCGACAUCGAGGUGCCAAACGAUGCCGUCGAUAUGGACUCUUGGGCAUCAUCAGCCUGUUAUCCCCGGAGUACCUUUUAUCCUUUGAGCGACGGCCCUUCCAUGCGGAACCGCCGGAUCACUAUGCUCUACUUUCGUACCUGGUCGACUUGUAUGUCUCUCAGUCAAGCACCCUUAUGCCAUUAUACUCUACGAACGAUUACCAACCGUUCUGAGGGUACCUUUAGAAGCCUCCGAUACUCUUUUGGAGGCGACCACCCCAGUCAAACUACCCACCACACACUGUCCUCCUUUGCAGGAGUUAGUUACCAAUUAAAAGAAGGGUGGUAUUUCAAGGAUGGCUCCAUCAUGCCUGGCGACACAACUUCGCAGCCUCCCACCUAUCCUACACAUCUUUUAAACAAUAACAAUGUGAAGCUAUAGUAAAGGUUCACGGGGUCUUUUCGUCCCACAGCGGGUAACGGGCAUCUUCACCGAUACUACAAUUUCACCGA
rnacentral:rRNA from 1 species